GACGAACGCUGGCGGCGUGCCUAAUACAUGCAAGUCGAGCGGAUGACGGAGGAGCUUGCUCCUCCUGAUUCAGCGGCGGACGGGUGAGUAACACGUGGGCAACCUGCCCUGUAGAUUGGGAUAACUCCGGGAAACCGGGGCUAAUACCGAAUAAUCCUUCGGACCUCAUGGUCCGAUGUUGAAAGGCGGCUUCGGCUGUCACUACAGGAUGGGCCCGCGGCGCAUUAGCUAGUUGGUGAGGUAACGGCUCACCAAGGCCACGAUGCGUAGCCCACCUGGGAGGGGGAUCGGCCACACUGGGACUGAGACACGGCCCAGACUCCUACGGGAGGCAGCAGUAGGGAAUCUUCCACAAUGGACGAAAGUCGGAUGGAGCAACGCCGCGUGAGUGAAGAAGGUUCUCGGAUCGUAAAACUCUGUUGUGAGGGAAGAACAAGUACCGGAGUAACUGCCGGUGCCUUGACGGUACCUCAUUAGAAAGCCACGGCUAACUACGUGCCAGCCGCCGCAGUAAAAC
rnacentral:rRNA from 1 species